UACGUAGGGUGCAAGCGUUGUCCGGAAUUAUUGGGCGUAAAGAGCUCGUAGGCGGUUUGUCGCGUCGGAUGUGAAAUCCCGGGGCUUAACUCCGGGCCUGCAUUCGAUACGGGCUGACUAGAGUUCGGCAGGGGAGACUGGAAUUCCUGGUGUAGCGGUGAAAUGCGCAGAUAUCAGGAGGAACACCGGUGGCGAAGGCGGGUCUCUGGGCCGAUACUGACGCUGAGGAGCGAAAGCGUGGGGAGCGAACAGG
rnacentral:rRNA from 1 species